GUGAAGUCUAAGUACGAAGUAGUACUACUAGUAGGACUGUGAUUAAACUUCCUUGUUACUUAUAUCAGAUUCAUAUAGAAACAGCUGAACAUGUCACAGAGCCCUUACCAAGUAUAGAAACGGUUUGUAAGAAACCAGUUGUCUUGUACAGAAAAAUGAGAAGACAGAAAAAUAUCUCUAGUUGCUGUCACUUUGGAAGUGAAUAUGAAAUGAAAAAUAUCAUUUGAAGUUGUGGAAAUUCAGAUGAAGCCAAUAACCAUUGUUUGUGAAAUCAGUAGGACCUGUUGUAAACCAGCCAAGUGUAGGAGAUAAAUCGAUAUAAUAAUCCAGUUCAUUUUGAAAUAACAGCAUGUUUAUUUGUAAUAGUAUACUUUUGUUUUUUAAUGUUAAUUGAAUUUAUUUACACAGUAUGGGUACUCUUAUAUGAAACAAAUAUUCACAUUAACAUGUGUAUAAUUAUUGUACAUUUAAGAGGCAAAUACCCAAUAGAACAUGGGAAUUUGUAGAUACAAAGAUAAUAUUUUUUAACCUAUUCUGUGAUGACAAUUCUUUCUGCAUCUUUUAGUAAUUAGGAAACAAUUGAAGUAAAAGAAAAUUGCAUAUGUUUUUAGAUGAAUUUAAAUUUACUGCACCAUUGUGCAUUCAAUUAUUUUGAAACAUAUAGUUGGAAAAAAAAAAAGUCAAUUUUCAAUUUUUUGUAGUGUGGUCAAAUAUGCUCCAAUUAAUCAUUUUAUUUCUUUAUGUAGCUUUAUUUUGAAGUAACCAUAUUUGAUACAUUUUCCCAUGACACUAAAUGGAUAUCAAAUGCCAUUUAUCUAGUUUUAUCUGGUCAGUACACAUACAUCUCUUAGAGUUGAGCUUUGACACCUUAGUAAUACUGAAGAUGGUCUAAUUUUCACAAGUGCUUGGGUUUUCAUGUUUAUUGUUUUUAUAAGUUACAUUUUUUUUCUUGUACAGAUUUUUAAUUUGAUUAACUAUUGAUGCUGGAAUAGAUGUUAUUCUUGAGUAGAAUUGUUAUGUUGAACUUGCAGUUUGUUUCAGUUUUAGGCACACCAGUUUUUUUGGCUACACCACACACUAAUUACAUAGUCUGUAAAUGUUUCAUCCAUUAGGUUUGUCAAACAGUUUUGGAUACCCUGUAAGCUGUUUGAGUAUGUGGGUUGGAUAACUGGCCAAGAAUGUUCUCCUUACUUUAGUGUCAGUGAUGAUAUCAUUCUUACUUGUAAUUGUUUUGCAGAAAUCUUAAAAUUUCACAUCGUGAAGAUUAUCCUUUCUUAAUGUUAAUUCUGAUAAAAAUGUAAAUAUCUUAAUUUACUGGUGGCAUUUUAUGAUAUACAGGAACUUUGCAUUGAUAAUCAACACAUUUGUGAAUACAAAAUAUAUAUAUUUUUUAAUUAUCUGGAAAGCUCUUGAUAACAAGAGAAUUGAAUUAGAGGAUACUAUCUUUAACUGCAGCUUGCUGUUUUCAUUAUUAAUUUAGAGAUUAAGUUUCUGAGAAAUCACCAUUUAUUUGUAGAAAAAAAAAUGUAGAUUUGACAAAAUACUCUUCCAACCUUAUUAUUGCCAUUAGGAUAAAUUGAUGCCUUCAUGAUGGAAUAAUGAAUAUUGACUACUACUACUACUAGUUAAAUUACUUUAAAUAAUUUGUUAAUAUAAAUAGUCUGAGUUUAAAGGACUAUAAUGCUAAAAACUGGAUUUCAAUACCUGUGGUGGGAACAGCAUAGAUAGCCAAUCAUGCUCAGCAAUAAAUAUUCAACUAGCAUCUCAACCACUGCUAUAUUUGUCAUAUCCCAACCAGUCUGAACUGUCCUGGUAUUGGGCAAAAUAUCUCACUGGCACUAGACACAGCAGAUAUGGUGGGGUUCGUUUGUUAUGAAUUUCGCGCAAAGCUACACGAGGGCUAUCUGCGCUAGCCGUCCCUAAUUUAGCAGUGUAAGACUAGAGGGAAGGCAGCUAGUCAUCACCACCCACCGCCAAGGUGGGGUUCGUAUACCUUUGUUCAGGUGUUAUAAUUAGUAGUGUUUUUAAUUACAGCUGGGUUUUUUUUUUUAAGAAACUUAUGCAGAAUAGUCUUGUGAUUUUUUAUUUCUAAUUGAAAAUCCAUGUUAAUUUUCUUUUGGAAUGCACUAAAAACUUGUGGUUAUGAAAAUUUAUAGUUCUUGUUGCUCAUUGGUGUUUCAGCGAUAGUAUUUUGCUAUUUAUACAAGUUUUCCAGAUAUAGAAUGGCAUGAUAUUAUAUUCUUUCACUCAUAAAUUCUUAUUUGAUUGAAAUGUUGGACUUCCUCCUGAUUGUAUUCUGUAGUCUUUCGAGUUCACAAAAAAUGUUUCUCGGAACAGAUGAUUAAUGUUCUUCAUCCACUAUUUUACACCAACCUCAGCACAGCCAUCUCAGUAAAUCCCACAGUGGCACACUAGUAUAUGUAAAAACAAAUAGAAAUUUUUUUAUUGGUUAGCUUUUGAAAUGCCUCAAAUACAUUCUUGCUAAGAUUGUAAAAAAAUAAACAACACUUUAAAGGGUAGAAAUUAUAUUUAUGAUCAUUUUUACAUAAACUGUCUAUGUGUGCGUGACUUAUACACAAUUUAAUGUAGCCUGAAUAAAAUUGAAACUCUUGAAAUAAUCAUGAUCUCCAUUUUUCUAUCACUAUUGUGAAGUCCAUGAAGGGUCUUUUAUAUUGUAAAUCUUAACUCAAAAUAGUAUCAAACUCUAAAAUACUAACUGAUUAAUAACUAGCUGUCUUGAAACAUGCAUAAAAUGGGGUAUUUAUAAUGUAGUGUAAGCAGUGAUUUUUAUUCAAUAGCCAAAUAAUAUACAUGUAGUUCUUUGCCUUUCCCUUUAAAGCUCACACAUCGUAGCACUAUAUACAUAUAUAUCAUGAAGUACGCACUAAAGACAUAACAAAAAAGUGUUGGGCAAGAAAUUAUCUUACAUUGAAUUUAUAAACAUUACUCAAAUUACCUCUCAGUAUGUUUCUAUAUUUUGAUGAAACGUUUUUCAAAAUGACAGUAUGCAUGUACAAGAAUCCUGAGAAUUUCAUAUUAAAAUUUUUUCAUGCAAUACUGUAUGUACUCUUUCCUUCUAACUAAGAGAAUACAUGUUUCAGUAGUAUUUAUUCUCAGGCUUUGCUGUCUUAAUGGGUUUUUUUAAAGUAUCUUACACUUUUAUCAUGCAAAAAUGAAGAUAGUAUGAAUGAGAAUUGAUGUAUUUGAAACUUAAAUUAAUCUUUUAUCAUUUAACUUGUAUCUACUGUUAAGUAGUCAGAGGUCAUAUUAUUAAAGUUCUCUAACAACCUGCUCAACUGUUGCUAAAAUGUUGGUUUGAUAUCUUUGCAGCAAUCCAUGACUUCAAAAUGUUUUGUGAUGUUUUGUUAUUGUCAUGUCAUUAGUUCUCUGAACUCUUUUAAUGUAAGUAUAGAUAUUUGCAGUUAUAUGUGCAAUUUUUUUUUCGCUUUCUAGUCAGUAUAUAAUUGUCAAAAGUUUAAAACUAUAAUAUAACAAAAAUGUGUUUUUGAAAGCCUUUGUAUAGUGAAUGAGUGGAUGAACUAUUGACGAAAUACUUUUAACUUGUUAUUUAGGUUUUUAGGUAUAUUUUCCUUUCCAAAUUUAUUACACACAUAAACGAGAAUAAGUUUUACAGUAUCUUAAGUAAAAACCACCUAAUGAAUAUCUUCAAACUGAAAAUUGUUACUUAUUAUUCUACAUUAUCAUACAUCAAAGAUUGUGCAUCUAUACCUAUCUGUUUGGUGCAAAUUUUUCUUAGUCAUUGAACUAUUUUAAAUCAUGUAUGAUACUGAUGAUUGUAACCUUAAACAUCUCUUAGAGAUUUUACUCUGAAAUAAAUUUUAUUAAUCAAAUGUA